rnacentral:rRNA from 1 species
GAUGAACGCUGGCGGCGUGCCUAAUACAUGCAAGUCGAGCGAACAGACGAGGAGCUUGCUCCUUUGACGUUAGCGGCGGACGGGUGAGUAACACGUAGGUAACCUACCUAUAAGACUGGGAUAACUACGGGAAACCGGAGCUAAUACCGGAUAAUAUUUCGAACCGCAUGGUUCGAUAGUGAAAGAUGGCUUUGCUAUCACUUAUAGAUGGACCUGCGCCGUAUUAGCUAGUUGGUAAGGUAACGGCUUACCAAGGCAACGAUACGUAGCCGACCUGAGAGGGUGAUCGGCCACACUGGAACUGAGACACGGUCCAGACUCCUACGGGAGGCAGCAGUAGGGAAUCUUCCGCAAUGGGCGAAAGCCUGACGGAGCAACGCCGCGUGAGUGAUGAAGGUCUUCGGAUCGUAAAACUCUGUUAUUAGGGAAGAACAAACGUGUAAGUAACUGUGCACGUCUUGACGGUACCUAAUCAGAAAGCCACGGCUAACUACGUG